GUGGGCAUUGAUUGUGAGUGGAAGCCUAAUUACGAAAAGGGAAGCUCAUCUAACAAGGUUUCUAUCAUGCAGAUUGCUUCUGACAACAAGGUUUAUAUACUUGAUCUGAUAAAGUUAUAUGAAGAUGCUCCGGAUGUAUUGGAUGACUGCUUAACCCGCAUAUUGCAUUCAACAAGAGUACUGAAGCUUGGUUACAACUUCCAGUGUGACAU